AAGUCGUAGUAGGUGAACCUGCGGAAGGAUCAUUAACACGUAUCCAAACGUUAAACCCCCCUGUGAACCUUCACCUGUACUCGUACGUCCGUUAGAAAAAGCAGCAAUCCCAUCGCCGAACAGUUUUCGAUUCAGGGACGUCUGCAAGGAGCGUGCAUGUUGCGAAGCAAGUGGCCUCAAGCAGUUAGUGUCUGAAAGUGUCAUUACCUGUGUAAGGAUGACGCAGUCACGAUCGUUGGAGGCCCACACGGCCGACGACCGGGUCGCUGGGCGCAAGCCCCCCUCUAACAAACCCCCUGCCAAUCGCGGCCGCGAUAAUACGCAGUCGACCAAAAACCGAACAACUGUUAACAAUGCUC
rnacentral:misc_RNA from 1 species